GUUUUGCUUUAUUUCAGAUUCUCUGUGCUGUUUCUCUUUCACAUUCAGUGGUGCUUUUCAGGAGCUCCAGGUCAGUUUCCCCUCCAAGUUUUGUAGUCUGCCAUGUUGUCCAUUCUGCUCAGCUAUUUAAAAAAUGUUGAAUAUCAACAAUGGCUUUCACUAGGGCAUUGUCAACUUUUGUAUGAAGCAAUCUUGGCUGAAUGCGAUGGCUUCAGUGCAGGGAGGGCUCAGCUUGGCUCGGCUUGGCUCUUCUGCGGGACGGAGGACUGACGCUCCCCUGCGCUUCUCUCUCGGCUCAGAUCGGCAAGGUUUGACAGUCUCACCCGGCUCUGUCCAGCUAAACCGUCAGCAAGACCUAAAAGACGCAGAGGGAAGGAUUGGCACCGAUGAAAGUGCAUUUUCUUUUUUUCGGACUGAAUGGUAAAAUGACAAACCAAUUAAACAGGCUGUGGACAUCAAUGGAAGACACGUGAUUUAUUGUUCAACGGUGUGGUCUAACUGUUUACAGAUGAAUUUGUUCCAAUAUACAGAAGCCUGAACAAAAUUUGACAUCAGCAACAAAAGUUUGUUCACCAGUUUCGAAGCCCUGCUCAUCAGAAAGCCCGUAAAGUCUGAGAAAAUCGAUCCAAACAAGCCUUAAUUCUGUCAUUAGGUGAGAGGGAGCCGUGGGCUGAUUGGCUGCCCGUCUGCUCCAUAUUCAGAGGUGCUGGAUGAGGCAGAGGGCCUGCUGGGUAAAAUGCUGCUGUAAUCAGGAGCCGGCUGUGCUGCCUGAUCAGGUAUGAAGUCUGCUUCCACCUUCCUCAAAAUCCCUCCUCAUCUUCCUCUCGUCUCACUGGCAGAGCCCAAUGGGAGCCUGUUCUCAGGAUACCUCCAUACUUGAAAGAACAUAUCCAGAAAAAGAAAAGAGUCAUCUAGUGACAGUUCACAUCCAAUCUGACAGAGCUGAAGCAUCUACAGAGAAGAAUGGCAGAAAAACAAAAUGCAGAUGUGCAAAGAUUACCACAUCAAAUCCAGCAGACCUGAGACUGCUAAAGCCAGAGAAAUGUGUGACCUGCAGUGAUUUGAACAGGUGUUGGCGAUGCCACUUCUCUUCUGUGCUGCAUCUCUCCUUUAAAUCCAUUAAGAUCAUCAAAACAUGACAGGGGGAUCAUCAGUCUGUCUGCAGGACGAGCUGCGUCCUGCCCAGCAAACCAGCUCACACUCACACACUCUCUAAACAGGCUUGGAGCGACUGAAGCUGCUGUCCGGUUUGAAGAUGCUCAUUAGGACACAACAGGAAGCAGUUGGUCAGUUAGUAGAGCACAUGCAGGUUACCAGCAACAGGUGGACAGCAGCACACAGGCACAUAUGAAGGGAAGGCAGGCAGGCAGACAGACAGACAGACAGACGUACCAGGCGGGCAGGCAGACAGCGGGCAGACAGCAGGGACUUAAAUUUAUUCGUCAAACCAACAAUCUCACCCCAACACCCACCGAAGUCCCCAAACACACACUCUGUUGUGAAAAUCACACAAGCAUCUUGCGAGAGAUGUAAAAUAAUACAGACAGCCACAGUGAGCGAGCGAGGGAGAUUAAGGGGAAGUGACAGAGCUGGCGCAGGAUGUUUGACUGUUUGCUCUUGCUUUAACAACAUCCUCUGCGCAGACACCCGAUGAGGACAGAGAUACAGGACUGAACCAUUGUUCUGCUUAUCUUCGUCCGGGCUCAUAUCUGCUGGCCCAGGGGCUAUUGAGGAGCGGAUGACCACUGAUAGAGACACAAACACACAAACUGCAGGGAAGGACUGGCUCUAAUUAGUGGAUCAACAUAUUGGUGAUGAUGAUGCUUAAUUAUCCUUGCUCAUGUUGGAUUUGGAGGUAAAUCUGUGUUGGCAGACACUGAGGAGAUCUAAUUUAAGUCAUAAAUGUACUCAUUUUCAUAUAGAUUUGGAGGGUUUAAUCUGCUGUUUGAGAAGAGAAUAUUUUGCUCAGAAAAAAAUGUUAGGUUUAACUGUAUGAUUAAAAAAAUGUCAUGAAACGAAGCCUUUUUAUAUUAUAUAAAUUGAUUGUCAUGAUUAUUUUAACUAUAAUAAAAUAAUUUCAGUGCUGUGAAA